rnacentral:rRNA from 1 species
UACAGAGGGUGCGAGCGUUAAUCGGAAUUACUGGGCGUAAAGCGUGCGUAGACGGUCAAGUAAGUCGGGUGUGAAAGCCCCGGGCUCAACCUGGGAAUUGCAUUCGAGACUGCGUGGCUAGGGUGCGGAAGAGGGAAGCGGAAUUUCCGGUGUAGCGGUGAAAUGCGUAGAUAUCGGAAGGAACACCUGUGGCGAAAGCGGCUCACUGGACCAUUACUGACGCUGAUGCACGAAAGCUAGGGGAGCAAACAGG